AUUGAACGCUGGCGGCAGGCUUAACACAUGCAAGUCGAGCGGGGUGAUGGUGCUUGCACUAUCACUUAGCGGCGGACGGGUGAGUAAUGCUUAGGAAUCUGCCUAUUAGUGGGGGACAACAUCUCGAAAGGGAUGCUAAUACCGCAUACGUCCUACGGGAGAAAGCAGGGGAUCACUUGUGACCUAGCGCCAAUAGAUGAGCCUAAGUCGGAUUAGCUAGUUGGUGGGGUAAAGGCCUACCAAGGCGACGAUCUGUAGCGGGUCUGAGAGGAUGAUCCGCCACACUGGGACUGAGACACGGACCAGACUCCUACGGGAGGCAGCAGUGGGGAAUAUUGGACAAUGGGGGGAACCCUGAUCCAGCCAUGCCGCGUGUGUGAAGAAGGCCUUAUGGUUGUAAAGCACUUUAAGCGAGGAGGAGGCUCUUUUGGUUAAUACCCAAGAUGAGUGGACGUUACUCGCAGAAUAAGCACCGGCUAACUCUGUGCCAGCCGCCGCCGUAA
rnacentral:rRNA from 1 species